AUGGAUCUCUUGGAGGUCUUCCUUCAGCGGCGCAUCCAGCCUCUCCAAGCUCGAGACCAUCCGAUGUGGAUGUAUUCGGGUCUUGAAGACUCCACUCGGAUCCACCCGGAGGAGGUCGACAAUGACACACUGGAGAAUUGGCUGUCUGGCAUUACCGGGAAUAAGGACAAUCCCAGGGGAGCCAGGAGAGUCCCUCCAUUCGACCAGUCCCACGCACCAGAGCAGGCCAUUAUUGAAAUGUAUUCAAUUCCCAACGGGGAGCAAGAGCAAGCUCUGGAAGGCGAGACGAGUGGCGGCGAAAGUGGCGAGUGGACUUCCGAUGGUGAAGGGGAUGGAGGAAGCGACGACUCAAGCGGUGGAGAAGAAGUCGAGUCGCCUCCUCGCAGGGAGAGGCGAUCCAAGCUUGACCAAGAACGGCCGAGUGCCCGUGACAAGGCAACUGCUCCGGCUGGUCAGUCUUCGAAGCGCCCUCGGAUCUCUUCACCAACCCCGACUGAGAAGGCACCAAAGCACCCCAGAGUUGUAGAGCUGAAGACUCGGAAGGCGUUGCCCAAAAUCAAGAUUGAUAUCCCCGUCGCUUCCGCGUGA
rnacentral:rRNA from 1 species